GAACAGCUAGUCAUUGUCAUUUAAUUUUAAUAGCAUCAAGUUGAAAUUUUCAUUGACAUCAUGCAGAAACUGUUUGUUGUAGCCCUGUUUGCUGCUGCCCUUUGCCUCGCCUUUGCUGAAGAAGAAAAGGAAAAGGCGUACAUCUACGGCAAUCCACUGUAUUCCAACCUCUACAAUCAUCCAAUCUACAGUCCCUAUGUCUACAAUCCUCUAGUUCCUAGGGCUGACGUAAAACCAGUGGAGUACAAGUAUACUGGCUACAACACUUACAACCCUCUCCACCACGGUCUUUACUACCCUGGAUAUUACUACCCACGUUAUGGUAUCUAAAUUCAAGAAGAUACAGACGAAUGACAAAAUGGCAAAACUGACCAACAAUAUUGAUCCUGAAUUGUGGAUUCCGACUUGGCAAUGACUAGAGGACCGUUUAACUUUUCACACCCGGGUGUUUUCAUUGUUCUUAUUUCCAUGUUGUGUACUUCAUUUUUUGUUUCU
rnacentral:lncRNA from 1 species